UAUGAUUCAGUCUUUAAAAUGAACAAUCUACAAUCACAAUCCCAAGACAAGCUAAAUACUCUCUCAUCUCAGGCAGAGCAUUAUUCACUCAAUUUGGCAUUUCUCAAACUGCAUCAUUAUCUUUUAAAUGUCAACAACAGCAUCACAAAAAUGGCCAUCGUAUUUUCAUCUUAGCAUGAAAAAUCUGAAUUUUAUACAAAGAACCUUUUAAAGUACGCAUCUAAUUGUGAGUAACCCAAUUAGAAGCCUAAAACCAAUUAGUCACAAUCCCAUUCAUUUGCAUAUAGCAUAUGCAAGAGUAACCAAAAACAACCCACAUACUAUACGCAUUCCCUUUUGCAAAUACAACAUCCUCGCCUCAAGCCUUUCCACCCGAGCUUCAACAUUUGCAAUCCGUGCCUCCAACAUUGCCAUCUGUGUCUCCCACCUUGCAUCUACACGUUCCAUGCCAUUUCCCGCAUGUGUAGAAUCUUCAACUUGUGAUGAAUCAACUUCCCAAGGCUGAUAACGACACAUUUCUAUUCAUGGCAUAUACUGCCAUAAUAGCAAAAAUUUAUUAAAUUGUAAUGAUAAAUAUGGCACCCCAAUUUCUGUUCAUCCCAGUCAGCUCAAAUCUAUUUUUGCAAAUCAAAACCAAGAACGUAAAAAUUACAUCCACCGAGUCAAAAUCCUUGUGUCUUAACAAUGAUGCUAGCCAAAAUCAAGUUGGCCCAACCGGCAACCCCAAUGCUAUUUCAUAAAACAUGAUGAUGGCUUGAUUGGAGAUUUCUACUAUAAAAUAAAGGGGAACAAGAGAGUAAGAAACUAAUUCUCAAUUGGUAGAGAGACACAUUCUCGAUUUUAUUAGCCCUAAAUCCAAUACUAAUUAGGAAUCACAAAUUCUUGAAUAAACUUCUUAGAACAGGUAAUCCUACAAUCCCUAGUAUUUCCUACAUUACCUACUCUCGUUCAAAUACCUAAAAGAAAAUUAACAUCAAAUGAAUAUGUUUUAAAUUUAUAAAGACAAAGAAAACUUUUGUUUCAUAUCAUUCACCAUCGACAUGAUUAUAAAACAAAACCUAAGAAUAUAACUAAAUCAUGGGUGAUGAUCUUAAACAUGAUGGAAUUACACCACUUAAACAUGGCAAAAUUAGUGAAAGUAAUCAAAAUCUAACAUGAACCUGCCUAACGGCGAUAUUAUGCAGUUCUAGAAAUAGGGAAAAAUAAAAAGAUGACUUUAGAUCAAGCUCAAGAUGUGGAAACAUAAACUCUAGGAUGACACACUUUGUUGAGCAAAGAUAAUUCACAAACUCGAAUUGCCACCACGUUCGACAAUGCUGACCGACUACUCCUGAGCAAACCCAUAAACCUAAAGCUGAAAUGGUCAUUAACAUAAACCAUAGUACAAUUCAUAAACCCAAAUUUCCACAUUAUAAAAAACUGCCAGAAUAUUCAAAACCCAUUCCAUUUGGUAUUUAAGAAAGAGAACAAUAUAUACAUAUAUAUAUCCAAUGAACUCUAGCUAAACUAUGCAACCUAUUAUUCCAAUUUGAGUGCAUUCUCUAAAAUUUCCAGACCUAAGAUCAUCCAAAUUUGUCAAGCAUAUCCCCAUGGUAAAGAUUAUUGAAAAGUUUAGUUCAAGAGUUACAACUGCAGUUAUUGUUAGAAGAACUUACGAAAUACCAAAGUAAAGAAAAAAUUUCCUUUCCAAUGUAAUGAAAAAAAGUAAAGAAAAAAAAAUUAGUAGCAUUCAUUAACUUCUAAUGUCGUUCCAGAGAAUGCAAAAUCAACCCUACAUAUUGCGGUAGCCAUAUGCAAUUCUUAAUUUAAGAACUUAAAUUGACAGAAAGAAAUUAAAGAGGGAGACGAGAAAAAGCCUAAAGAUUUUCUCAUGCCAAACUUAAACAUGCACAGAGAGACCUAAUCAAUCCAAAAUUUGUGCUGAUUAUAAACAACAAGAAGUAGAAAGAACAGCUGUCAGAGAUGGGUAAUACCUCCCUAAAGUAGCUUGAAUGAAAUCCAAUGCCCAGAAAUCGUCUGAAUUAGAAAGAAGGAUUGGGGGGAAAGAGGGAGAACGAUCAAACCCUACGGAAAGAUGAAAACUUUCAGAUCAGGAGCUAUAAGGUAGCCCAACAAAAUAUCUGCCUUGCAUAGAAAAGGCCCACGAUUUAGCAGACCCAUCUAAGGCCAUGACAAGAUCCUGGUAGACUACUGG
rnacentral:misc_RNA from 1 species